GAUGAACGCUGGCGGCGUGCUUAACACAUGCAAGUCGAACGGAAAGGCCCUGCUUUUGUGGGGUGCUCGUUUGGCGAAGGGGUGAGUAACACGUGAGUAUCCUGCCCUUGACUUUGGGAUAACUUUUGGAAACUGGGGCUAAUAACGGAUAGGAGCUCCUGCUGCAUGGUGGGGGUUGGAAAGUUUCGGCGGUUGGGUAUGGAGUCGCUGCUUAUCAGCUUGUUUGUGGGGUAGUGGCUUACCAAGGCUUUGACGGGUAGCGGGCCUGAGAGGGUGACCGGCCACAUUGGGACUGAGAGACGGCCCAGACUCCUACGGGAGGCAGCAGUGGGGAAUAUUGCACAAUGGGCGGAGGGCGUAUGCAGCAAGGCCGCGUGCGGGAUGACGGCCUUCGGGGUGUAAACCGCUUUCGCAUGUGACGAAGCGUGAGUGACGGUAAUGGGUACAGAAGCACCGGCUAACUACGUG
rnacentral:rRNA from 1 species